UACGUAGGGUGCAAGCGUUACUCGGAUUUAUUGGGCGUAAAGCGCAUGUAGGCGGUUUUGUAAGUCUGAUGUGAAAUUCCUGGACUCAAUUCAGGAACUGCAUUGGAUACUGCAAGACUAGAGUACGGGAGAGGUAGGUGGAAUUCCUGGUGUAGAGGUGAAAUUCGUAGAUAUCAGGAGGAACAACAGAGGCGAAGGCGACUUACUGGACCGUAACUGACGCUGAGAUGCGACAGUGUGGGGAGCAAACAGGAUUAGAAACCCGGGUAGU
rnacentral:rRNA from 1 species